ensembl:lncRNA
GGGGGAGCUGUCCUGUGAGGGACACAAGGUCAGUGUCUGCCCUUCAGGUACUUGUGAUCUGAAGGAGGAGAGAAAAAAAUGCACAAGACAGCAGAGUCUCCAGGCCAAAUGAAAGAAUCAACUAGCUUUGUUGGAGUUCAGAGGAAAGACUGCCCUGGAGGCCUCAGAGCUAAGGCUUCCCUGAUGGCUCAGAGGGUAAAGAGUCUGUCUGCAAUGUGGGACACCUGGGUUUGAUCCCUGGGUUGGGAAGAUCCCCUGGAGAAAGAAAUUUCAACCCACUCCAGUAUUCUUGCCUGGAGAAUCCCCAUGGACAGAGGAGCCUGGUGGGCUACAGUCCAUGGGGUCGCGAAGAGACACGACUGAGCAACUUCACAUUCACGUUCACCUGUUCCCAGAGCUGCCAUUUCCUCUCAUCUUCCCCAGCAAGAUUGCAGGUGAAAUACAGUUUCUGAACAGUCAUACGACCUCUGGCAAGUCUAUAGGAAGCAAACAUCCUUUGGGCUUGGAUCCAGGGCCUGAAAUAGGCUGAAGUUGGCUCAGAAUCGACUGAGGAACAGGAAGUCAAAAGCCCAGGAGAGAAAUCACUGUGGAAGAAAAAUACAUCUGUGGAAAGUAAUCUACUCUAAUAAAUACUAACUGGAAGAGAAAAAAGAAUAUAAGUCACUAUGAAUUAGCAUCACUCUCAUUCUGUAUGUGUGUAUAUAAACUAUCAUAUAUAGAACAUUUUAAAAAUUCAAAAUCUUAACAGUGGUAUCUCUGAGAGAAGGAAUUAUAGAUAAUUUUAUUUUCUUUACUAUAAUUUUCAAUAUUUAAAAAAAUUUACAGUGAUCCUAUAAUCAGAGAAAAAUAAACAUUUCCAUUUUUUAAAAAGCAGAUUGCUUUCCAUAUGUCCCAGUGUCAUCGGUUGAGCAGGUGGGAGCUGAGGGGGCUGGGUUCUGAUUGCUAGAUUCUAAGAAGGUGUAUUAGUGAGUUCAGGCAGCCACAACAAAAUACCAUAGACUGAAUGGCUUAAACAACAGAAAUUUAUUUUCUCAUUGUUCUAGAGGCUGGAAGCAUAAGAUCUGGGUGCCAACAUGGUCAAUUUCUGAUGAAAGCUCCCUUUCUGGCUUGUAGACAACCACCUUUUCAUCAUGUCUUAACUUGAAUGGCCUUUCCUCAGCAGAGGGAGAGAGAGAGAGAGGGUGAGCUCUCUGGUGUCUCUUCUUAAAGGGACACUAAUCCUACUGGGUCAGGACCCCACCCUUACAAUUUCAUUUAACCUUAAUUAUUUCCUUACUCCAAUUACAGCUACACAGGGCUGGGGGUGGGGUGCAUCCAAGGCUUCAACAUAUGAAUUUUCAGUUCAGUUCAGUUCAGUUCAGUCGCUCAGUCGUGUCUGACUCUUUGCGACCCCAUGAAUCACAGCACGCCAGGCCUCCCUGUCCAUCACCAACUCCUGGAGUUUGUUCAAACUCAUGUCCAUCAAGUCGGUGAUGCCAUCCAGCCAUCUCAUCCUCUGUCGCCCCCUUCUCCUCCUGCCCCCAAUCCCUCCCAGCAUCAGAGUCUUUUCCAAUGAGUCAACUCUUCAAAGAGCAUCAGGUGGCCAAAGUACUGGAGUUUCAGCCUUAGCAUCACUCCUUCCAAUGAACACCGAGGACUGAUCUCCUUUAGAAUGGACUGGUUGGAUCUCCUUGCAGUCCAAGGGACUCUCAAGAGUCUUCUCCAACACCACAGUUCAAAAGCAUCAAUUCUUCGGCGCUCAGCUUUCUUCACAGUCCAACUCUCACAUCCAUACAUGACCACUGGAAAAACCACAGCCUUGAUUAGAUGAAACUUUGUUAGCAAAGUAACGUCUCUGCUUUUGAAUAUGCUAUUUAGGUUGGUCAUAACUUUCCUUCCAAGGAGUAAGCAUCUUUUAAUUUCAUGGCUGUAAUCACCAUCUGCAGUGAUUUUGGAGCCCAAAAAAAUAAAGUUGGACACUGUUUCCCCAUCUAUUUCCCAUGAAGUGAUGGGACCAGAUGCCAUGAUCUUAGUUUUCUGAAGGUUGAGCUUUAAGCAACUUUUUCACUCUCCUCUUUCACUUUCAUCAAGAGGCUUUUUAGUUCCUCUUCACUUUCUGCCAUAUGAAUUUUAGGGGAACACAAAUAUUCAGUACGUUGGGAUGUCUAGGGCUUCAACAUAUGAAUUUCAGGGGGACACAAAUAUUCAGUCCAAAACAGAGGAAAAGAGAAGGAAUCUGCAUAACUACCAAAAGCCAGGAAGUUUAACACAUUAUCUUAUGAAAUUCUCACAACAACCUUGGAAGAUAGAUGUUGUUGAUACCAUGCAGGGCCCUGUAGGGCUCCUGGCACAAGUCUUUCUGUGUUCCCCAUUUCUUUGAUUAUAGGAAACAGCCUUCAUCCAGCCUCCAUGACCUUCCCUGAGUUCAACAGGCAGACUCAAGCAGUUGCUAAUUAGGGAAGGGAGAGGAUGAGAGACCAGGGAGAAACAAAGCAGCCUUGGGUCAAGGUCCUGUUUUCCCAUCAAUGGAUACACACAGCAAUAUCUUUGAGCUGUUUUGCAGAUACUGAAACCCCCACCAGGUGGGAGAAGUUAAUGAUUAAUGAUGGUAUGCUGCCCACAAGAAUGUAGACCCCAGACCAGUUGGACCUGAAGGUUAAUGAUGCUGACUUCUACUUACCUCACCACUAACCCAUCAGAAGAAAGUUCACGAGCUGAUCAUACCCUCUUUGAACAAUUACUAUAAAACUUCUCAUUAUCUUUCCCAAGUGGGAACACAUGGUUUUGAGGGGCAUUAGCCCACUGUGUCCCCCUCUGCCUGGC